CUUUUCCUAGUCCCUGAGACCCUAACUUGUGAGGUAUUUCAGUAACAUCACAAGUCAGGCUCUUGGGACCUAGGCGGAGAG